rnacentral:tRNA from 1 species
UAAAAGAUAAGCUAACUAAGCUGAAGGCUUCAUACCCCUUUUAUGGUCCUCCUCUUUUAA